GGUCCUGCAGCUCCGUUGGCGGAGCGCCGGUGUGAAGAACCGGAGGACGCUGGUUCGACUCCAGCCGGGACCA
rnacentral:tRNA from 1 species